GUGAAAAGCACCCCGGAAGGGGAGUGAAAUAGAACCUGAAACCGUGUGCUUACAAGUAGUCAGAGCCCGUUAAUGGGUGAUGGCGUGCCUUUUGUAGAAUGAACCGGCGAGUUACGAUUUGAUGCAAGGUUAAGCAGUAAAUGUGGAGCCGUAGCGAAAGCGAGUCUGAAUAGGGCGUUUAGUAUUUGGUCGUAGACCCGAAACCAGGUGAUCUACCCUUGGUCAGGUUGAAGUUCAGGUAACACUGAAUGGAGGACCGAACCGACUUACGUUGAAAAGUGAGCGGAUGAACUGAGGGUAGCGGAGAAAUUCCAAUCGAACCUGGAGAUAGCUGGUUCUCUCCGAAAUAGCUUUAGGGCUAGCCUCAAGUGAUGAUUAUUGGAGGUAGAGCACUGUUUGGACGAGGGGCCCCUCUCGGGUUACCGAAUUCAGACAAACUCCGAAUGCCAAUUAAUUUAACUUGGGAGUCAGAACAUGGGUGAUAAGGUCCGUGUUCGAAAGGGAAACAGCCCAGACCACCAGCUAAGGUCCCAAAAUAUAUGUUAAGUGGAAAAGGAUGUGGCGUUGCCCAGACAACUAGGAUGUUGGCUUAGAAGCAGCCAUCAUUUAAAGAGUGCGUAAUAGCUCACUAGUCGAGUGACACUGCGCCGAAAAUGUACCGGGGCUAAACAUAUUACCGAAGCUGUGGAUUGUCCUUUGGACAAUGGUAGGAGAGCGUUCUAAGGGCGUUGAAGCAUGAUCGUAAGGACAUGUGGAGCGCUUAGAAGUGAGAAUGCCGGUGUGAGUAGCGAAAGACGGGUGAGAAUCCCGUCCACCGAUUGACUAAGGUUUCCAGAGGAAGGCUCGUCCGCUCUGGGUUAGUCGGGUCCUAAGCUGAGGCCGACAGGCGUAGGCGAUGGAUAACAGGUUGAUAUUCCUGUACCACCUAUAAUCGUUUUAAUCGAUGGGGGGACGCAGUAGGAUAGGCGAAGCGUGCGAUUGGAUUGCACGUCUAAGCAGUAAGGCUGAGUAUUAGGCAAAUCCGGUACUCGUUAAGGCUGAGC
rnacentral:rRNA from 1 species